rnacentral:rRNA from 1 species
GACGAACGCUGGCGGCGUGCUUAACACAUGCAAGUCGAACGGAAAGGCCCUGCUUUUGUGGGGUGCUCGAGUGGCGAACGGGUGAGUAACACGUGAGUAACCUGCCCUUGACUUUGGGAUAACUUCAGGAAACUGGGGCUAAUACCGGGUAGGAGCUCCUGCUGCAUGGUGGGGGUUGGAAAGUUUCGGCGGUUGGGGAUGGACGCGCGGCUUAUCAGCUUGUUGGUGGGGUAGUGGCUUACCAAGGCUUUGACGGGUAGCCGGCCUGAGAGGGUGACCGGGCACAUUGGGACUGAGAUACGGCCCAGACUCCUACGGGAGGCAGAAGUGGGGAAUAUUGCACAAUGGGCGGAAGCCUGAUGCAGCAACGCCGCGUGUGGGAUGACGGCCUUCGGGUUGUAAACCGCUUUCGCCUGUGACGAAGGGUGGGUGACGGUAAUGGGUAAAGAAGCACCGGCUAACUACGUG